rnacentral:rRNA from 1 species
GACGAACGCUGGCGGCGUGCCUAAUACAUGCAAGUCGAACGCAGUUGCGAACGGGUGAGUAAUGCGUAGGUAACUGCCUCAUAGCGGGGGUUAACUAUUGGAACCGAUAGCUAAUCCCGCUUACUGUGAGAUGUACCUGCGUUGUAUUCGGUAGUUGGUGAGGUAAAGGCUCACCAAGGCGGCGAUACAUAGCCGAGCUGAGAGGGUGAACGGGCACACCGGGACUGGGACAACGCCCAGGAUCCUAAGGGGAGCAGCAGGAGGGAAUCUUCGGCAAUGGACGGAAGGCUGAACGAGCAACGCCGGGGGAGUGGAGAAGGGUUUCGGGUCGGAAAGCUAUGUUGUGAGAGAAGCGGUAACUAAACAGAAAGGGACGGCUAACUACGUGCCAGCAGCCGCGGUAAUAC